rnacentral:lncRNA from 1 species
UCUCUCAUGAAAUCCCCGUUCAACUCCAUGAGGGAAUCCCCAUCCAACCCUGCAGGAAACACCAGAUACACCUAGACUGGGGACAUUCUACAGGACACCUGGCCAUACUCAAGGCUGUCAAGGUCACAGGAAAUAGGAUGGAGACACUGUCACAGAGCAGAGGAGGCCAGGAGACAAGACAACGAAACGCAACAUGGUUUCCUGGAUUGGAUCCUGGGACACAAAGAGGCCCCCAAUGAAAAAAUGGGGAAAUUAAAACACCACCUGUAACAUGUAACAAUGGGCUUGCUCUGCUGGCCACAAUCUGAGCCAAUUAAUCACAACAAGUUAGAGAUCGAGAAAGGAAAUUUAAUUAGAUUAGCCAGCUAAUGGGAAGAUGGCAGACUAAUGUCUCAAAAAACACAUCUUCAAAAAUGACAGAAUCUUGAGGCAGUUAUAUAGGGAAACGGGCUAUGAGGAAGGGUCCAGGGAUGCUGGUCUCCAGGCGUCCCAUUGUUCCAUUCUUCUGUCAGCUGUGAUAGACUCCUUUUGUAAUUGAUCAGGGUGUUGGGGAGGACAUACGCAAGCGGAGGCCACAAAUCAGGAGAGCACGUGAAUUUUUUCGAGUACAUGCAGAGCAGAGAGUAGUCACACAGAGGAGGAGCUGGGCCAUUUAGUGUAACAAGACAGGCUCACAUGCUCACUUACAGAGCCACUUCACGUGAACUGUGGCUGUCAAUCAGGAAACCAGUAACUUCAUACUCAAAGGAACUAUUCCUAACACGUCUUCAAGUUAUAUCUGCUCACUUACUAAUGGGGCGGAGAUUCUUCACUGCUUUUCCUGCUGCAGGAGUCAGUACAGCGAUGGUACAGCGAGCUGGAGGCCCUUCUGUCCCGUACGUCAUAAGCUUCAAUCGUCAAAUAAAACAUAUUGUCUUCAUUUGUUACUGAAGCAAGCAGAAAAUGUGAAACUUCAUUUCCAAGUUCCAGGACGACUUUACAGAAUAUGCUAUUGAAACACAAUCUCUUAACUUCGUUAGCCUAGUGUCUUGAGAGGGAAAAUUCUUCGUCAUUCCACACUGCUUUUUAAACUCAAGGUGCCCUGGGGCCUUACAGACUUCAGCCUUUUUUUUCUUAAACACAUUUGUGUUCCUUCCUCUAUUAAAUUAUUUGUAUGCAAAAUGAGACUUAUAGAAAGUAACUUCUUUUGCUUUUCAGAUUCUAAUUUCUAAGGAAACUGAAGAGAACUGUGCUUUUUUCACUUAACAAAGUUGUUAGUGCUGUCUCUUUGCAGUUGACCUUAAGGAAGACCUCAUGUUUACCUUCUCCAGCCACCAGGGGAGAUGAGCCACAGUUACGUUCUUGGUCAAGAGACCUGCAAGGUUAAGUGUGGUCAUUUGAGGCAAAAAUUUUUGACCUUCUCUCCCUCAGGUCUGAGGGCUCGCCCCAGUGCUGGGCCCACAAAGACGUCUUCCAUUUGGAAGCUCCCCUGGGCUGGACCGUGGUGACUGCAGCUGCUGCUCUCCGGCCCCCAGGUGAGCAGCAAAGCAGAGGCAGAGACACAUGCCAGAGCUCACUGGGAAGCACGAGCCUUCUACUGAAAUGUUUCGAGUUUCUUUCUUUGAAAGAAAGGUUAUUUUCCAAUAGUUCUGACUGAUAACAAUAAUCCCAGAAGGAGAUAACGUGUAUAAAACACUUAGAAACGUGCCAGGCCUUGCACUGCACAGUUUUUACUCAGACGAUCUAAUCUAAUCCUGAGUCAAGUACUGCUAUGCGCAUGUGCAUGUUUCAGGUGAAGACUCUGUUCCUCAGGGCCUCCUCGGGGCGGGGAGGCAGGAGCACUAUUGCUUUUCUCUCUUGCUUGUUAGGCAUGAGUGGGAACUGCCCUUUAAAGAAAGAGUUCCAAGGUGUGAUGGUUACUUUUAUGGGUCAUUGUGGCUGGGCUAUAGUUGCGUGAUCAAACACUAAUCUAGAUGUGGCCACACUGGUAUUUUUUAGGCAUGGUUAACAUCUUUAUCAGUUGACCUUGAGUACAGGAGAUUACCUUC